rnacentral:misc_RNA from 1 species
AGCGUGUGGUGGUCAUUGUGAGCUCUGUCAUCUUCUUCCAGACGCCUGUCUCACCUAUAAACUCUCUCGGCACUGGGAUUGCCCUUGCUGGUGUUUUCUUGUAUUCAAGAGUGAAGCGCAUUAAGCCAAAAUCAAAGACAGCUUGAAGUUAAGUGGAGAAAUUGUGUUUAAAUUGGGUUGUUGGAUGAUAGCAAGGAAUCAGCCGGAAAUUUUAUUUACUUUAUUUUUGGGUUUCGGACUCUUUGGUUUGUUCAUUUACACUAGUGGACUUCCAGCCCCAAAAAUGUAUGGGUGGAAGUAUGCUGCUUAGGAAUUUUUCGUUUUCUUUCU